rnacentral:miRNA from 1 species
AGUGUGCACACAAGGUUCCAUA